rnacentral:lncRNA from 1 species
UGAGGGAGUACGAGCAGGAGUUCCAUCGUUUGAGAAAGUUUGUAAGCAGGUACGUUGAUGAGAGGGAACACAUAGAAAAGUUCCUGAGGGGCUUGCGGGUUGACAUUAAGAAUAGAUGCCAAAUGCGGAGGUAUGUGACCAUGGUCGACCUGGUGGAGACGGCAGUCUUGAUGGAGAGAAACAUUGGCGUGGAGGUUAAGCAAGCUAGAGCAUCCCAAGCACCAAAGGGAACUCUGAAACGGACAUGGGACGACCAGGCGGCAGACUCAGGAACGGAGCAGACAUCCAUGUCCGGACAGCGUGGGCGGAAACACGUUCGACCAUGCAAAACUAAGGGAUGUUAUGGAUGUGGUCGUAUGGGGCAUAUUAAGCGGAAUUGCCCGGAGUUACUUGGAGACUCAGCUCACGUAGAGAGCAAAAGACGUUGAUGAUUACUUAACUCGAGAGAGCGUAGCUUUCUGUGAGUUAAAUAGUAAUGAACUGAAAACUUUUUGUUGAUAGACUAGCAAAGCUUUUCUUUUGUUGAUAAUCUUGCGAAGAUUUUGGCAUUGAGACGGUGAGAAUUCAAAUUACUUUGAACGCCGUCAGCCUUGGCAGUCACAUCCAUACAAAACUCUUGAUCUUUCGGGUAUAUUGGUGGUUACAGCAACUUUUGUUGGAAGAAAAGAUAGUACAUUCACCAUUCUUAUUAAUAAUGCUACUAGCAAGUAAACUAAGGCUGCUGCAUCGAAAUGAAACAGGAGACAUGACCAUAUGACAAAGGUGUUGAGAAUAUUAUUAAGCCAUCCCUUUAUACACAGGUUCAUUGAUGUUGGUUGUAGUGCUUUGGUAGCAACUGCUUCAAACUCUCCGUCUCUCUUCUCUGUUUGCGAGAAAGAAGUUUAGAUGAUCCCUUGGAUGUGAUGCGUCUCUUGUUUCCCAUAUUUGCCUCUCCGAUGAUCCGAUACAUCAUUGUCACUAUAUACACCGCAAAUUUCUCUCGUAGUUUAGCUGCGUUCUUUAAUUUCAACCGAUGUCAAGUUUGUGCAUCCGCUGCAGAUUUUAUACACUAAAAAGUGAAAUUAUUCAGUUCAGAAUUAACCCCCACCCAGAGAGACAAACUUCAAAAUCAAGCAGAGAAGAACACACAAGGAAGGUACCAUAUCAGCAGCAGACAAGGUUUCUUAUUUUUUUCCAAAUUUCUUUUCUAUACGGAAAGAUCAAGUUGCGAUCAGAAUCCAAUUCGAAUUGAUUCUAUCUAGGUCUUAGGUUUAGGUUGAUUUUACCGAUUUUGAUGUUAAAUUUUCUUCUUAGUUGAGAGAGUAAACGCAUGUUUUUAUAAAAAACGCAGCUUUGUUCGUUGGUUUCCAAUUCGAAACUGCCGAUCUUCGAAAUCAAUUCGAUUUUGAUGUUAUAAAACCUUAAUUCCGAUCAUAACACAUGAUUCUGGAGAAACGCAGUUUUGCUCGUUGGUUUACAAACUCUUUCACAUUGAUGUAGUAAUGGCUCUUGACAUGCUUAGCUUCUUAUACUAGUUUUUUUUUUUUUCUCAGAAUGUCAGGAAGUUAUCAUGAUCCACGCGUUUUCUCUCCGGAGAGACUGUUGGAAGAUCUUCAUGUACAGACCGUUGAAAUCCAAAGGCUUUUUAAUGAUAAUCACAGACUAGCUGAGCACCGAGUGCUUCUGGAGCGAGAACUCGGCUCUGCCAAGGAAGAGCUUCACCGAAUGAAUCUCGCUGUUUCUGAACUUCGUGCUGAAUAUGAUCUGCAGUCGAGGGACUUCAGUGAGAGAAUGCAGGACGAUGCUCGUGCUAUGGAGUCUUACAAGGAAGAGCUUCACCGGAUGAACCUGGUCAUUUCUGAUCUCCGUGCUGACAAAGAAGAGGCUGCACAGUUGCGCGGUGAAGUUCAGAAGCUAAAUGACAUUAAACGUGAACUUAGUGGAGAUGUUGAGAUACUUAGGAAAGAUUUGGUCAAAUUGCAAUCAGAUAACAUGCAGAUUCCGGGUUUGAGAGCUGAGGUUCAGGACCUGAAGAAGGAGCUUAUGCACGCUAGGUAUAAUCUUGAAUCCUUUAUUUUCACAAUUCUGUUUCUAGUUGAAUCCCUGAGCAUCUGGGUUUCGGUUGUAAAUGGAGGCUUUUUCGUUUGGAACAGAGGUGCUAUUGAGUAUGAGAAGAAGGAAAAGUUUGAGCUUAUGGAGCACCGGCAAGCUAUGGAAAAUAACAUGGUUUCAAUGGCACGUGAUGUUGAAAAGCUACGAGCAGAGCUUGCUGCUGUUGAUAGUAGGCCUUGGGGCUAUGGUAUGACCCUCCUACAUCUUUCCUGGAACCAUUUGGUAUUUUCUUUUCAUACGUUAUGUGUCCAGGUGGAUCAUAUGGGAUGAAUUUCAACCAUAUGAAUGGUAGCUUCCGUGGUUCUUAUGGAGAACAUGAUGGUUUUCUGGUACUCACUCAUCUUUGUGGACUUGUACUAUUAUUACAUGCCUCUAUUUAUCUUUCUUAUCUCUCAUGGAUCUUCGGAACAGAUGCCGACCGAGAGAAGAGUGGACCUUCAGACCCAACCAAGAAACACUGGAAACCAAACCGCAUCCAACCGAGCUGAGGCAGCAGAGAUACUCGAGUGCACACGCAGCGUGGGGCAGUCGCAGAAUGGUGCGAAUGGUCAAACAAAGGUUCCCGUGGGAGACACUGCGGCAGUAAGUGCAGCCGUCUUGCAUGGACUCAAGGAGCUGUUUGGGCCGUUGCUGCAACAGAACUCCGCAGGGGGACUGGCCUCUCGAGCCACAGCGGUUCUGCAAGUACAAGGAGGUGCCGGUCAGGAAGGGCCUUCUCCGCUUGUACCAGCAACCGCGCCAAUACCCUCGUACUGGGACGCAUUAAGACGGAUGAGGGACUUGGGUACUGAGACCUUCGGUGGGGGUGGUGACCGGGUCGCCGCAGACAACUGGUGGCAAAUGCUGGAAAGGAACUUCGAGUUCAGCAUGUGCCCAGUGGAGUACCGAAAGGAAUUAGCAGCCCAUUACUUGAGGGAAGAAGCUCAUAUCUGGUGGGAAAAUGUGGUUCAAGGAACCCCCGAAGGGUAUGUGCUCAACUGGUACGACUUCAAGGAUGAAUUCGCCAGGAGAUACUUUCUGGAGGAAGCCAUCGAUCAGAUGGAUAAAGACUUCGCAGAGCUGCGUCAGGGAACUAGAACUGUGAGGGAGUACGAGCAGGAGUUCCAUCGUUUGAGAAAGUUUGUAAGCAGGUACGUUGAUGAGAGGGAACACAUAGAAAAGUUCCUGAGGGGCUUGCGGGUUGACAUUAAGAAUAGAUGCCAAAUGCGGAGGUAUGUGACCAUGGUCGACCUGGUGGAGACGGCAGUCUUGAUGGAGAGAAACAUUGGCGUGGAGGUUAAGCAAGCUAGAGCAUCCCAAGCACCAAAGGGAACUCUGAAACGGACAUGGGACGACCAGGCGGCAGACUCAGGAACGGAGCAGACAUCCAUGUCCGGAC